rnacentral:rRNA from 1 species
GAGUUUGAUCAUGGCUCAGGAUUAACGCUGGCGGCAUGCCUAAUACAUGCAAGUCGAACGGAGUAGCAAUACUUAGUGGCGAACGGGUGAGUAACACGUAUCUAAUCUACCAUUUAGUGGGGAAUAACUGUUGGAAACGACAGCUAAUACCGCAUAAUAUUGCUGGAUAAUUUCCAGUAAUGAAAGGAGCUUUCAAGCUCCGCUGAUUGAUGAGGAUGCGGCGCAUUAGCUAGUUGGUAGGGUAAUGGCCUACCAAGGCAAUGAUGCGUAGCCGAUCUGAGAGGAUGAACGGCCACAUUGGGACUGAGACACGGCCCAAACUUCUACGGAAGGCAGCAGUAGGGAAUUUUUCACAAUGGGCGAAAGCCUGAUGGAGCAAUGCCGCGUGACUGAUGAAGGUCUUCGGAUUGUAAAGGUCUGUUGUAAGGGAAGAAAUGGUAAAACAGGAAAUGGUUUUAUCUAUGACGGUACCUUACCAGAAAGCCACGGCUAACUAUGUGCCAGCAGCCGCGGUAAUACAUAGGUGGCAAGCGUUAUCCGGAUUUAUUGGGCGUAAAGGGUGCGUAGACGGUUUUGCAAGUCUGAGGUUAAAUUUAGGAGCUCAACUCCUAAUCGCCUUGGAAACUACAAGACUAGAGUAUAGGAGAGGUUAGUGGAAUUCCAUGUGUAGCGGUGGAAUGUGUAGAUAUAUGGGAGGAACACCAGUGGCGAA